GUUAAAUUGACAGAUUAGUGUGUGAGAUUUAGAAUCUCUUUAUGUAAUUUUUAAUUACAUUUAAUA
rnacentral:tRNA from 1 species